rnacentral:rRNA from 1 species
GACGAACGCUGGCGGCGUGCUUAACACAUGCAAGUCGAACGGAAAGGCCCUGCUUUUGUGGGGUGCUCGAGUGGCGAACGGGUGAGUAACACGUGAGUAACCUGCCCUUGACCUUGGGAUAACUUCAGGAAACUGGGGCUAAUACCGGAUAGGAGCUCCUGCUGCAUGGUGGGGGUUGGAAAGUUUCGGCGGUUGGGGAUGGACUCGCGGCUUAUCAGCUUGUUGGUGGGGUAGUGGCUUACCAAGGCUUUGACGGGUAGCCGGCCUGAGAGGGUGACCGGCCACAUUGGGACUGAGAUACGGACCAGACUCCUACGGGAGGCAGCAGUGGGGAAUAUUGCACAAUGGGCGGAAGCCUGAUGCAGCAACGCCGCGUGCGGGAUGACGGCCUUCGGGUUGUAAACCGAUUUCGCCUGUGACGAAGCGUGAGUGACGGUAAUGGGUAAAGAAGCACCGGCUAACUACGUG